ACCUCGGUGAUGUAGUGGUAGCACGCGUCCCUGAUAUGGAUAUAACGCGGGUUUGACUCCCGUCCGAGGUC